ensembl:snRNA U6 U6 spliceosomal RNA
UAAUGCAUGCUUUGGUAAUAAGUAUAUUAAAUUAAAAUAAAGAAGAUUAGUAUGGCCUUUGGGCAAGGAUGAGACAAAUUCACAAAGCAUCCCAAAUUUUU